rnacentral:rRNA from 1 species
AACACGUGGGAACGUGCCCUUCAGUCCGGAACAACCCAGGGAAACUUGGGCUAAUACCGGAUACGUCCGUAAGGAGAAAGAAUUUAUCGCUGAAGGAUCGGCCCGCGUCUGAUUAGCUUGUUGGUGAGGUAACGGCUCACCAAGGCGACGAUCAGUAGCUGGUCUGAGAGGAUGAUCAGCCUCACUGGGACUGAGACACGGCCCAGACUCCUACGGGAGGCAGCAGUGGGGAAUAUUGGACAAUGGGCGCAAGCCUGAUCCAGCCAUGCCGCGUGGGUGAUGAAGGCCCUAGGGUUGUAAAGCCCUUUCGGCGGGGAAGAUAAUGACGGUACCGUAAGAAGAAGCCCCGGCUAACUUCGUGCCAGCAGCCGCGGUAAUACGAGGGGGGCAAGCGUUGUUCGGAAUUAUUGGGCGUAAAGGGUGCGUAGGCGGCGCGGUAUGUCUCUUGU